rfam:Clostridium lentocellum DSM 5427, complete genome.
GCCGCUGUGGCGAAAUGGCAGACGCACCUGACUCAAAAUCAGGCGUAGAAAUACAUGCCGGUUCGAGUCCGGCCAGCGGUA